GGUUCGUAAAAUUUCACGUUUUAAAUUUGCUGGUAGCUAUCCUCACCACUUAAAAUAUUCAUAAUGGGACCCUUUUAUGCCACCAAUUUGUGGUUAUCUUCAACUCUCAUCCAAACCAAAAUCAUUACCAUGGUUCUGCCUUACCAUUUUUUUUCCAAUUCCAAUAGAAAAGCCCUCAUCUUUUAAUCACACUUGCACUGUUUUCUUCACUUGGCUUCUCCCCAAUUGCAAAACCUUGUUCAUCUCUCAGUUUCACCACCUGGGUAUUCCCUAUUCUCAUCAUAGCUCUUGUUCUUCUUCAUUCCUUGCAUGAUGGCAUCGAUGAGUUCUUUACCAUUCCUUGUGGAAACAAAUGCUGACUCCACUGUGAUGCUGCUGCUUCACUCUAGGAACCCAAAGUUUUCACCGAAGUUUGGUUCUUUGAAUGCUUCAUCAUUUGCCAAAGGGUUGGGUCGUGGUAGAGUGAAUCACAGUUGUAGCAGAGGCUUACCAUGUUUAGUGGGGAAUAAGCAGAUAAGAGCUCUUGGGAAGAGUUCUGGGACAAGUGAGGAUAAGGAUGAAUCCGAGGAUGUGCUUCAGGCCACUAUUGAAAAGAGCAAGAAGGUUCUUGCUUUGCAAAGGGAACUUCUUCAACAGAUUGCUGAUAGAAAGAAAUUGGUGUCUUCGAUAAAUAGUGAGAGCAUUCCUGAAACAGAAGGGAACAGUAUCCCUUACAAGCACAGUGAUGAAUCUCAGUCAAGUGAGUCAAAUUCACAGAAAGGUUCUGCCAGCAGAGGUAGUGCUGUUGAGAACCAAAAUGGUGGCAUUUUAUUUAGCAAUUAUAUCAAUUCUGAUGAGAAGGAAAUACCAGAUAUGUCAUAUGUAGGCAUUGAUCAAGAUUUUGACAAAGGUGAAGAGGAAGAUGAUAAAUUGCCACCUGCUGAAAAGGCUUCAUCUACUAGGCUAUACUUAAAUGAAAAGUUGAAAAACAAAAAAUAUGAGACAAUUACGCCUGAUAAGCCAAUUGAAAUCGCAAAUACCACCAGAACUUUAAGUUUAAAGGUUGAAAGUCUGGAGGAUGUGAUUGAAUCAAGUUUAAAAGAGAUUGGUAAUGAAGCUGACAAUGUUGAAAGUGAAGGUGAAAAACCCCCACCUUUGGCUGGGGCCAAUGUCAUGAAUGUUAUAUUGGCUGCAGUAGAAUGUGCUCCCUGGUCAAAAACAGGUGGGCUUGGAGAUGUUGCUGGAUCAUUACCUAAGGCUUUGGCUAGGCGUGGACACAGAGUUAUGGUUGUUGCUCCUCGGUAUGGUAAUUAUCCUGAACCACAAGAUACAGGAGUUCGGAAACGAUACAAAGUAGAUGGUCAGGACAUGGAAGUAACAUAUUUCCAGGCCUACAUUGAUGGUGUUGACUUUGUUUUUAUUGACAGUCCAAAUUUUCGCCAUCUAGAAAAUAACAUAUAUGGUGGAAACCGAAUGGAUAUUCUAAAACGGAUGGUGUUGUUUUGCAAGGCAGCUGCUGAGGUUCCUUGGCAUGUUCCAUGUGGGGGUAUUUGCUAUGGAGAUGGAAAUUUGGCUUUCAUAGCAAAUGAUUGGCACACUGCAUUGCUGCCAGUGUAUUUGAAAGCAUAUUAUCGUGACAAUGGUUUGAUGAAGUACACAAGAUCUGUUCUUGUGAUUCAUAACAUAGCACACCAGGGUCGAGGCCCAGUUGAUGAUUUCCGCUAUGUGGAUUUGCCCGAACACUACAUAGACCUUUUCAAAUUAUAUGAUCCUGUUGGAGGUGAGCACUUCAAUAUCUUUGCAGCCGGUUUAAAGACAGCUGACCGAAUUGUCACUGUUAGUCAUGGAUAUGCAUGGGAGCUUAAAACUUCUGAAGGUGGUUGGGGUUUGCAUGAGAUCAUAAAUGAGAGUGACUGGAAAUUGAGGGGAAUUGUGAAUGGCAUUGAUAACAAAGAUUGGAACCCGCAGUUUGAUGUUCAUUUGACAUCAGAUGGCUACACCAACUACACCCUUGAGACCCUACAAAGUGGCAAGCGUCAAUGUAAAGCCGCCUUGCAAAAGGAGCUUGGUUUGCCUGUCCGCGAGGAUGUUCCAGUAAUUGCUUUCAUUGGAAGAUUGGAUCAACAGAAAGGUGUUGAUCUCAUAGCUGAAGCAAUUCCUUGGAUGAUGGGCCAGGAUGUGCAACUAGUCAUGUUGGGAACCGGAAGGCCUGACUUGGAACAGAUGCUUAGGCAAUUUGAAUCCCAACACCGUGACAAAAUCAGGGGAUGGGUUGGCUUUUCUGUGAAGAUGGCUCACAGGAUAACAGCAGGUGCAGACAUAUUGCUCAUGCCAUCAAGAUUCGAGCCAUGUGGAUUGAAUCAACUCUAUGCCAUGAAUUAUGGAACAAUUCCCGUUGUGCAUGCCGUCGGUGGACUGAGAGAUACCGUGAAGCCUUUCAAUCCAUUCGAAGAGUCCGGCCUUGGGUGGACGUUUGAUAGUGCAGAAACUAAUAAGUUAAUAAACGCAUUAGGGAACUGCUUGUUGACCUUCAGGCAGUAUAAGACGAGCUGGGAAGGGCUGCAACGGCGAGGGAUGACCCAGGAUCUUAGUUGGGACAAUGCUGCUCAGCAGUAUGAGGAGGUCCUUGUUGCUGCUAAAUUCCAAUGGUGAUUUCUUGCUAAAACUAUGGAGUGCAUUCAUGCUGAAUGAUAUCAGGAUCUGUGCAAGGGAAAGGACCUGCGCGAGUUGUUUAUAGAUCAAACCCACCAAUUUUUCACCCAAAUCGGAUCGACCCACCUCGCCAAAUCCCCAAAAGCUUACAACUUUGAAGUGAUCCAAACACGGGCAAGAUCGGAAUUUGUCGGUGCCCCAAUGGAUCAAAAUUCACGAAAGGAGCAUUUUUUUUCCUUCUUUUUUUAAAAAAAAAUUCAGGGUGAAAAGAAAAAUGAAAAAUGAAAUUCAAUAUCUGAUGAUGCAAUAGAGAGUGUUGAAGAGAAAAAAUUAGAGUUUGGAAAUGGGUUUUAGAGGCCGGCUUGAAGGGGUUGCUGAAGCAGAGAGUGCAGGGGAAGAAGCAGAGAGGACAAGGAAGGAAGAGUCAUCAUUCACCGCUUUAUUAUCAUCAGAUGAAAUCAGCAAUGUUUAUUUAUUUAUUUGUUUUUUUUAUUUAAUUUAUUUGCUCGUAACAAGAAGCAUAGACAGGGUCAUACAUAACACAUAGUAAAUGUUACAUACACGCAAGCCAAACCAUCGCAGGGACACGUUUUGUUCUGUGAUGCUUGUUAGGGUGUGGCGUGGGCUAUGCAAUGGUGUGGAGUUGAAUGGGCUUGGAUUCACCUCUUUUUCUACAAUUCUGAUAUCAUGUGUGAAUGAUUCGGUGGGACAUCCCCAUGGGCUUGACCCACAUCCCUUUUGGGAAAAUUGCAUUUUGCUUUCCAUGUUCUUAAUUCUUGUUUAAUCAUUGUG